UACAGAGGGGGCAAGCGUUGUUCGGAAUUACUGGGCGUAAAGGGCGCGUAGGCGGCCUUCUAAGUCGAACGUGAAAUCCCCGGGCUCAACCCGGGAACUGCGUCCGAUACUGGAAGGCUUGAAUCCGGGAGAGGGAUGCGGAAUUCCAGGUGUAGCGGUGGAAUGCGCAGAGUAUCAAGGAGGAACACCGGUGGCGAAGGCGGGUCUCCUGGGCCGAUACUGACGCUGAGGAGCGAAAGCGUGGGGAGCGAACAGGA
rnacentral:rRNA from 1 species